AGCUGGUCGGCAUGGACGGGUUGGACCGAAGGGUCUGUUUCUAUGCUGUACAUCUCUAUGACUCUAUAUGCAUGACUAAAUCAUGCAAUGCAUUUUUGCCUUCUGAUAGAGGUCAUAAUUUUCAGAUACUUAGAAUGUGCUGGCCAGAGGGACUAAACUAUUAAGAUUGGGAUUUUAUUUGAUAGGAAUGAACUUUAUCUAUCUUUUCUAGGGUAAGACCAACUAUGAAAAUGAUAUGGAUUGCAUCCAGGAACAAACGGGGAAGAAAAUUCCAUCCAACCAACAUCAACUGAUUCCAUAAAAUUUGCAUGGAGCACAAGGUUUCCCAAUGCUUCCAAGAGCAAAUCCUGCAAGAUUAACCACAGGGACAGAGUUUAUUAGGCCACUGGGCAGUGUGUUUCAUUAAAUGCUGCAGACACAUUAACACACUGCACCCAGUCCCUGACCUCCACUUCCAGUUGAGUCAUAAUAUGCAAAACCCCAGCACAAAUGUCAGCAGCCUUUUCAUGGUGUACUUUAAAGACAGACUCACUUAUAAAAUUAUUCACCCUGUUAGAAUGUUCCCAUAGCCUUUUACAGCUUCAAAAAAAUUAUUUCAGUGACAGAGUGGGUGUGCUGAUCAAGGGCAACAGGACCAAAGAGCUACCAGCCCAAACAGAUGGCUUUCGAAAAAAAGUCAGGUGAGGGUCUGGUUGACAGGCGGAUCAGUGAGGCAAACCCUGGAAGAUGGGGUAGGGGUUUUUGCUGAGGGCAGACAGCAGUAUUAUACUGAGUGGGACCUCUCAAUGGUCCUCUCCCUGUUCUACCCAACAGUAGCGGAGUGGGAAACAGCCGGGGUUUACCCGACAGCCUUCUUAUGCAAGGCAAGACCCUCUAAUCACUGGAAAAACUUAGUGAAUCCAUUAAAUGGCCAAUUACGGCCUCUUCCAUUGUUUGCGAAGCUCUGGAAUAGGUGGGCCAUCUGUCACCUUUCCUGCUGCUGCUGCUAAAAUGGCAGGGUGUCAGGAAGCUAACAGGCACACCACCCCAUCACCUCUCCACAUCAUUUUACCAGCCGCCUCCUCCUCAUUCCAUCUUUGAAGGGCUGCUAAAAUCCAGCCUAAGGAAGGAUACUUCAUAUGGUCAUUCAUAUCUGGUGUUGGGGUGGAAAGUGAGCACUGCUACUUCUUCUGAUAUUACAGUUGCAGCUGAGAUAAACUGUGGUUCCAUUUUCCCACUCCUCUCUCAUGCGAGACAGCACAUGGUUGAUUAAGUGCAAGCAUUGACAACUUGCACAGUGAUGAGGUGCAGAUAGCUCAACAAACUGAUUUGUGACAAAUCAAACGUGUGGAAUGAUUUUGAAUACGGUAUGGGAAAAUAAAAGGAAACAUUUGGAACAUUAAAACAAACAACAAACUACAGAUGCUGGAAAUGUGAAGUAAAGUUAAUGCUUCUAGUUGGUAAUCAUUCUUUCUCCAUGGAACCUGCCAAACUGGAAGGCAAUUUCAAACAACUCCUGAUUUUAUUGACACUAACUACUUUAGGAAAAUAUGUUGAACCAUUUUUUUUUCAUCUAAACAAAGUACAUGUUGUUCAGCUGAACAUGUCCAUGACAGAACUUGUGCUUUUACACAAAACUCUUCCUCACCUUAUUCAUUUAACCUCAUUGACAUGUUCUCAUUUUCUUUUACUCCUCCUGUUUAUUGAGCUUCUUCUUGGACACAUCUAUGUUAGCUGCCUCAAUUAACAAGAGAAUAGUAAGAAUGUUCCCCCUCAAAACCUCUUGGUCUUAUUGCUAUCUAUCUAGCUCACAUUUAUGAUCCCUGGUUCUGGUCUCGCCCACAAGUAAAAAACAUCUUGUCUACAUUUCAAAACUGUAUA